rnacentral:sRNA from 1 species
ACAAAAUUGACAUUUGUGAGACAAAAUUGACUUUUGUGAGACAAAAUUGACAAAAUUGAAUUUUGUCUCACAAAAGUCGAUUGUGUAUGCAAAUU